rnacentral:lncRNA from 1 species
GGAGCCUCAUCUGUGACCUACAGCACAGCUCAUGGCACUUCCAGAUCCUUGACCACUAAGAAAGGGCAGGGAUCGAACCCUCGUUCUCAUGGAUGCUAGUCAGGUUUGUUAACCACUGAGCCAUGAUGAGAACUCCUAUACCCAGUUUACUAUGUAAUCUUCAGGGAGCAAAUCUUCCUCUGUCCCUUUAGAAAAGCUCUGGAUUAAUGACAGUGAGGAUGAGAACAGAGACAAGACACCUCCCCCACAGUCCGUAUUUGGAAGGAUCCAGAGAUACUUGCAAAUCCUGAUUGGUACCCACUAUAAGUCAGAGGUUCCUGCAUCCCCCUCCUCUAGUUUGGUCAAUUUGUUCAAGCAGCUUGUAGAACUCAGGAAGAUGUUUUCCUUACUAGAUCACUGGUUUAUUAUAAAAAGAUGUAAUUCAGGAGCAGCCAGAUGGAAGAGAUGAGAUGCACAGGGUAAGGUAUGAGAGCCGUGUGGUGCUUCCGUGCCCUUUACAGGUAUGCCGCACCUCCACAGGUUCACCAACCAUGAAACUCCUCUGAACUCCAUCCUUUUGGGUAUUUAUAGAGGCUUCCUUACAUAGGCUUGAUUGGUUCAUCGUUGGCCAUUGAUGAUUAACUCAGCCCCCAUGGAGAUGGGACUGAUAGUUCCAACCCUCUAGUCACAUGUCUCCCCACCCCCCAACCAGAGCCCUGUCUUUAGGGGCUUUCCAAAUGUCACCUCAGUCACCUCAAUAAUAUGAACUCAGUUUGGUUUAAAGAGGCUUGUUUUGAAAGACAAAAAAGAACUUUCUAGCUCUGGAGCUAUUUCAAGAACUGAAAACAAAACUAAAUAUAAGGAAAGUUGCCCCUCAUAUCAGAAAUUACUAGGGUUUGGGGAGCUGUAUGCUAGGAAUAAUGGAUGAAGACCAAAUAUAUAUUUAUUAUGAGGUGCAAUAUCACAUCCACCAAAGUUGUUUUCUUUCACAUCUUAAAGAAAGGCAGAAGGAAAAGCAUUUCACUUUUAGUCAAUUCUCUCCGGCCCCUAAACUCCCAAUAUUUACUCUGAAGGAUCUUUAAAGUCAAUGCAUGAGAGGGUCAGGGUCGAGAAAACAUAAAGUCAUUAAGUUUUUCUAUGCUGUGAAACCUUCUUGAAGUACUAAAGUAAGUACAUCCUUGGGGGUUUACAGGGUUAAGACACAGAUCUGAGUUUUAAAUGUUUGUAUAUUACUCAUUCCUUGAGGAAGAGAUAUGACUCCCUUUAAGAGCGUGUCUUUGGAAAAAACAAAAACAAACAAAACAAAAAACAAAAACACGAGCGCUGUGAGUGAAGUUUUAUUGGGGACAAAAUGAGGACUAUAGCCUGGGAGACAGACAGCCUCUCAGGUAUCUCUGAGGAUCUGCUCCAAAGAGGCAGUGGGGGAGGUCGGAACAUAGGCGACCUUUGGUGAGGAGGGUGUGCGUGCAGUCAAGCAGGCAUUUUGGCAGAGAGUCGCUGCUAGUCAUGAGGAGCAGAUGUCUCCAUGACUGAUUUUAGUGCUUUUCUAGAUUUGAGAAGAUGCAAGAAAUUGGGCUCAUAGAAUCUCCUCCUGAGAAUGUCUAUCUGAAGGCCUAUCCUGCCAGUUUUUCCCAGAGCACAGAGUGCCUCAUUCCUGCUCACUGCCCUGAAGUCCUUUCAGAGCAUGUUGAAGGUCAGUGACUGCAGUAGCUAGUGACUUCGUUCUUGUAGAACCAGGUGCGAGUGACAGUUUUUAGUGGGCAAGCUUGAGAGAUGCUUUUUGAGUGCACAGACAUCUGGUCUCGGAAUAGCUUCCCUAUUUAUUGGCCUUUCUCAAAUACAGACGUGUAGCCUCAGCCUUCUGAGACUCUCUUGAUUCAGUCCCCGGCCAGUCUGGGGUGGCUGUGUGCAGCUGAGCACGCACAGAGGAGGCUUGCUGUUGUAACAAGGUGAUCCCUGGACUGCAGAUGUGAUAACGAAAGCUUAUCCUUGUCAACAUCCUUCAUUAAAAAAUCUACAGCUCUGUUUCCCCUUAACUUGGUGAACACCAGGGCAUGGCCCAGAUAUGGACUCCUAGCUUAACAUUUCCUAUCAUACAUUAUUUGAAAUAUCUCCCUCCACAUGGAUGUUCCCAGCAUCAGCAAGCAAACAUGUAUACACAUUUAACAUCUGCACACACUCAACCCAACCCCAGUCUUGGAGAUGGCGGGAGGUCAUUGCUCUUGUUACUAUCUCCCCCCAGCCUCAUGGUGUUUUGCUUUAGGAGGGGAGUAUGUUCAAAACUUAGGGAAGGAUGGUAUGUGAAUUACAUCAUUAAAUUAAAAGUGAAUAAAUGAGCACUGUUUGGGAGAAAAAUUUUACGGAAAACUGGAUUUGAGGUGUUCCUGGAGUGUCUGUUUUCCAGUGACAAACAUGAUGCUGGAAUAACUAGGGAAUUCAGCUAAACAUUUAUUGACAGUCCUGUACAAGUGAGGCUUGGCAUGGAGGCCAGAAUGUGGAAAAUCUCUCAUUUGAUUCUAACAAGAUAAUUUGAUAACUAUAAUAAGGCACAUUUGCUGAGCCUCAGAGGAGAUGGGGUUAGAUUUGCUG